GGGAAUGGAGUGACUCUCUUAGCCAUCAUGGUGGCUAUGAUCAGUCUCCAUGGUUAGAGACAGCAGCGCUUCUGAAUAUUGCUGGAAACCACAUGUUCGGAUGCUGCUUUUGGGUUUUCUACAGGCAGCUGGCUGGCCACAGAGAGCAGGAUGCUGGACUAGUUGGGCCAUUGGCCUGAUCCAGCAGGUUCCUCUUAAGUUCUUAUGACUGAUUUGCCUUGAAUUAAGACCUGGCAGCAUUCUCUGUGAGUGGAAAAACAUGGUCAUUGUGGCACACAAAAAAAAUUAUACAGUGGUACCUCGGGUUAAGUACUUAAUUCGUUCCGGAGGUCCGUUCUUAACCUGAAACUGUUCUUAACCUGAAGCACCACUUUAGCUAAUGGGACCUCCUGCUGCUGCCACGCCGCCGGAGCACGAUUUCUGUUCUCAUCCUGAAGAAAAGUUUUUAACCUGAAGCACUAUUUCUGGGUUAGCAGAGUCUGUAACCUGAAGCGUAUGUAACCUGAGGUACCACUGUAAUAGGUUUGGUUGUACCACGUGAUGAAUGUUUAAGAUGGAAUCCCAGUAGAAUAUUAAAAUUUAUUAUUUAUUACAACAUUUUAAAUCAGUAUACAUCUGUAAAAAGACAUGAGAAAUGGACCUUUAGGAAGGCAGGAAACAAAAUGAAACCCGAGGAACGUGGGACCUGGGGUCAGAUGAAGCAAGAUUAGGAAAGAGGGAUGAUGAAACUGCAGGAAAAGGGAAAGAGCAGUGGUUCUAGGAAAGGAAGAGUGGAAGAAAAGUUGAUAGAGGAAAGAGCUAAGAUGAAUCUGAUGAGAGUUAAUCUUAGUUCCUUUACUAUCUCUGUCAAUCAGAAAAGCAGCUGUAAAAUACAAGUGGCCUGUGGUUCACACAGAUGUGUGAAAUUCAAGAGAGAAAUGGAGCUAUUCAUAGAUACUGAAGGCAUGGACUAUAGAAAUAAACAAAUUCAAUUUGUCUGUUAUUUUUCACUGUCAGCUUCCCCAGUGUUCUGCUCAUGCUCAGCCCUCAAGCAUUUUCAGCGUUGUUUGGAGCCAACGGAAUGGCUUGGUGCCUUGGUGGUGAGCCUUGCUGUUGAAUUCACAGGGAGGAUUUUUUGUGUAUUUGAUGUGCCACCUGUAGUGACUUGAGACAAUUGAAUCUGGGCAGCCUUGUCACGCCCUCAAGGAAUGGAUAGGACAUGGGAUUUGUAUGUAAGUGUUUGGGAUCGUGCAGGUCCGAUUGCGUAAAAGACAAGAAAGGAGUAAUAAUAAAGGUUCCUAGAUUUACGGUUUUUAUGGCUGUGUCCUGCUCUGUUGAUGUCUUAGAGCCAGUUAGAUCCUUCAGUAUGGGGUUGCUUAAUCAAUUGUGCAAAACAUGGAGCUCCGAUGUCUUACUUUUAUUCCCAGGAUAGACUAUAAAAGUAACAAAUUACUUCUAACCAGAUUGAAAAGAUUGAUUUUUUUAAGAAUUAGAAGUAAGGGGGAAAAUAGUGCUGCCAGUUUUUCCAAUUGCUUUCUUUGGACGUGAUUGUUAAUUUUCCUUGAUAUAUUGAGCUCUAUAAAUCUAUGUUUGUCGCCAUGUCUUUAAAUAAUACAUAUUAACCACAGAUGAAUUGAAAACUGCAUCAGAACAGCAAGGCUUCUUGGUCAAGGGCUGUUCAUUUUGCUUCUGACACUUUGUGGGGGCCUUUAUUUGUAAAUAAAAACCGCUAAUGCCAUGUAAUAUCAUGUAAAAUAGAGAUUUGUAAUUCAGUAAUAAUAAAAGAGAAGUGCCCCAUAUUAAGGACAUAGGAUGAAUUCCAGUGUGGUAGUUCCACUAAUGGAAUGGCUUUUGACCCAAUAGAAGUGUCUGGUAACAGAAAAGGAGAGGAGAUGAUUCUCCUGGAUUUCAGCUAUCUACAUCAUCUGGAGGAUCCCCCAACUGUCUGGAACAGGUUUUGUGGAGGGUCUGCAGUGGGAAGGGGGAAAUGGAGAAAAUUGCCUCCCUGCUUAACAUUAGUGAAUGGCUCUGUUAGAUCAAAAGUUGUUCUGUGCGUGGGACAGCAGCCUUGGAUUUCAUCCAACAGAGGCUGCUUUAUACCCAGACAGACUGUUGAUUCAUGUAGGCAAAGAAUUAAGGCUGCACUCCUUAACGUAUGUCCUGGGGCGUGAGUACCAUUGGACUUAAUACUAAGUAAGAAGUGCAUAGAAUUGCACUGCCAGUGUUACCAAAUUAGUGAUGAAGCCCCUACAAAGUGUGUGACACUAUUCAGCCCCUAUGAUACUGUGUAGCAAAUCCCUCUUAAGACACCUGUUCAACCUUCAUUCUUUUCUGUUGUCAAGAGCUGCAGUAGGGUUUGGUCAUCCAUGAAGAAAUAAUGUUUUGGGUACAUUUUCUUUUGGUUCCUUUAUUUAUGUGCCUGUGGGCAGGGGCUUGGAAGAGGAGAAGGAAAAGCUUCAUUUUUCCACAUGUAAUAUUCUGGGAUUGCCAAGUCCUAGGAGCUAUUAUGUUGAUGUAAUUGCCUCCUUCCUGUUCCUGGCUACGUAAAUAGAAUAGACAUUUGGAUCACCCGUGAUUCUUCUAAUUUUAGUCCCUAUUUCUCAAUUUUGUGACAAAAGACAGUGCUGAUAAGAUCUCUGAGAGUUUUCACGUGGGUCUCUCAUUUCUUAGUUUCCAAAAGCAGAAAACUGGAGAUCCACAUGUUCGUAUCAGGAGCUGAAGUUGAAUAUUAACUUGAAUCUUGCAG